rnacentral:snRNA from 1 species
ACAAAGGGCUUCUGUUGUUAGUGGCACAUGUAAGGCAACUCAGUUGCUUUUUGUAUAGAAUCGACAUCAAGAGAUUUUGGAAGCAUAAUUUUUGGUAGUUGGGCAGCUGGUGAUUGUUGGUCCUGGUGUCCUU